CGAGUCUUAAUUGGGCGUUAAGUUGCAGGGUAUAGACCCGAAACCCGGUGAUCUAGCCAUGGGCAGGUUGAAGGUUGGGUAACACUAACUGGAGGACCGAACCGACUAAUGUUGAAAAAUUAGCGGAUGACCUGUGGCUGGGGGUGAAAGGCCAAUCAAACCGGGAGAUAGCUGGUUCUCCCCGAAAGCUAUUUAGGUAGCGCCUCGUGAAUUCAUCUCCGGGGGUAGAGCACUGUUUCGGCUAGGGGGCCAUCCCGGCUUACCAACCCGAUGCAAACUGCGAAUACCGGAGAAUGUUAUCACGGGAGACACACGGCGGGUGCUAACGUCCGUCGUGAAGAGGGAAACAACCCAGACCGCCAGCUAAGGUCCCAAAGUCAUGGUUAAGUGGGAAACGAUGUGGGAAGGCCCAGACAGCCAGGAUGUUGGCUUAGAAGCAGCCAUCAUUUAAAGAAAGCGUAAUAGCUCACUGGUCGAGUCGGCCUGCGCGGAAGAUGUAACGGGGCUAAACCAUGCACCGAAGCUGCGGCAGCGACGCUGAUGCGUUGUUGGGUAGGGGAGCGUUCUGUAAGCCUGUGAAGGUGUGUCGUGAGGCAUGCUGGAGGUAUCAGAAGUGCGAAUGCUGACAUAAGUAACGAUAAAGCGGGUGAAAAGCCCGCUCGCCGGAAGACCAAGGGUUCCUGUCCAACGUUAAUCGGGGCAGGGUGAGUCGACCCCUAAGGCGAGGCCGAAAGGCGUAGUCGAUGGGAAACGGGUUAAUAUUCCCGUACUUGGUGUUACUGCGAAGGGGGGACGGAGAAGGCUAUGUUGGCCGGGCGACGGUUGUCCCGGUUUAAGCGUGUAGGUGUGUGUUCCAGGUAAAUCCGGUUCACUUUAACACUGAGGCGUGAUGACGAGGCACUACGGUGCUGAAGCAACAAAUGCCCUGCUUCCAGGAAAAGCCUCUAAGCAUCAGGUAACAUCAAAUCGUACCCCAAACCGACACAGGUGGUCAGGUAGAGAAUACCAAGGCGCUUGAGAGAACUCGGGUGAAGGAACUAGGCAAAAUGGUGCCGUAACUUCGGGAGAAGGCACGCUGACAC
rnacentral:rRNA from 1 species